rfam:Folsomia candida strain VT population Fcan01_Sc006, whole genome shotgun sequence.
CCUCCCAUCUUGGCAUGUAUCCACUACUUUAAUACUGGUCCAUGAAUGUUUCGCGGAGGAAUAGUAAAGAGAUUGAACGGUAUCAUGCCUUCGGUGUCUACUUCAAAAAUAAAUGAAUGAAUAGAUUCCAUCCUCUAGAUACCGAACAUAU